GAUGAACGCUGGCGGCGUGCCUAAUACAUGCCAGUCGAGCGAACGGACGAGAAGCUUGCUUCUCUGAUGUUAGCGGCGGACGGGUGAGUAACACGUGGAUAACCUACCUAUAAGACUAGGAUAACUUCGGGAAACCGGAGCUAAUACCGGAUGAUAUUUUGAACCGCAUGGUUCAAAAGUGAAAGACGGUCUUGCUGUCACUUAUAGAUGGAUCCGCGCUGCAUUAGCUAGUUGGUAAGGUAACGGCUUACCAAGGCAACGAUGCAUAGCCGACCUGAGAGGGUGAUCGGCCACACUGGAACUGAGACACGGUCCAGACUCCUACGGGAGGCAGCAGUAGGGAAUCUUCCGCAAUGGGCGAAAGCCUGACGGAGCAACGCCGCGUGAGUGAUGAAGGUCUUCGCAUCGUAAAACUCUGUUAUUAGGGAAGAACAUAUGUGUAAGUAACUGUGCACAUCUUGACGGUACCUAAUCAGAAAGCCACGGCUAACUACGUG
rnacentral:rRNA from 1 species